rnacentral:sRNA from 1 species
GCCGGGCUUGGUGGCUCACGCCUGUAAUCCCAGCGGGUCAGGAGGCUGAGGCAGGAGGAUUCAAGUUCAGAGCCAGCUUCAGCAAUUUAGCAAGGCCCUAAAGCAACUCUGUGAGACCCUGUUUCUA